rnacentral:rRNA from 1 species
UACGUAGGGUGCAAGCGUUGUCCGGAAUUAUUGGGCGUAAAGAGCUCGUAGGCGGUCUGUCGCGUCGGUCGUGAAAACCGGGGGCUUAACCCUCGGCGUGCGGGCGAUACGGGCAGACUUGAGUACUGCAGGGGAGACUGGAAUUCCUGGUGUAGCGGUGGAAUGCGCAGAUAUCAGGAGGAACACCGGUGGCGAAGGCGGGUCUCUGGGCAGUAACUGACGUGAGGAGCGAAAAGCGUGGGGGAGCGAACAGG